rnacentral:hammerhead_ribozyme from 1 species
AUCUAGCUGACGAAUCCCAAAUGGGACGAAAGGCGCGUCGUGGAU